GAUUAACGCUGGCGGCGUGCAUAACACAUGCAAGUCGAACGAUGAAACUUUAAUGAACCCUUCGGGGAGAAUUAAAGCGGAUUAGUGGCGAACGGGUGAGUAACGCGUGAGUAACCUGCCUUACACAAGGGGAUAGCCUUUGGAAACGAAGAAUAAUACCCUAUAAAACCAUAAAAGCACAUGCAAUUAUGGUCAAAGUGAUAGCGGUGUAAGAUGGACUUGCGUCUGAUUAGCUAGUUGGUGAGAUAAAAGCCCACCAAGGCAACGAUCAGUAGCCGGCUUGAGAGAGUGUACGGCCACAUUGGGACUGAGACACGGCCCAGACUCCUACGGGAGGCAGCAGUGGGGAAUUUUGCACAAUGGGGGAAACCCUGAUGCAGCGACGCCGCGUGAUUUAGAAGGCCUUCGGGUUGUAAAAAUCUUUUGUAUAGGAAGAAAAUGACAGUACUAAACGAAUAAGGUCCGGCUAAUUACGUG
rnacentral:rRNA from 1 species